rnacentral:misc_RNA from 1 species
UUGAAUUUAGAGACUGAAAGGUUUUCGAAUUCCACACUGUGUUUUUAAGCGUCUGACCGUUUAAUUACGAGAUGAUGUGCAAACCUGUUCAUACCACGUAUGAAAUUAAACAAACAAAAACUA